rnacentral:rRNA from 1 species
UACGUAGGGGCUAGCGUUAUCCGGAAUUACUGGGCGUAAAGGGUGCGUAGGUGGUUUCUUAAGUCAGAGGUGAAAGUCUACGGCUCAACCGUAGUAAGCCUUUGAAACUGGGAAACUUGAGUGCAGGAGAGGAGAGUGGAAUUCCUGGUGUAGCGGUGAAAUGCGUAGAUAUUAGGAGGAACACCAGUUGCGAAGGCGGCUCUCUGGACUGUAACUGACACUGAGGCACGAAAGCGUGGGGAGCAAACAGGAUUAGAUACCCUGGUAGUCCCUGAG